rnacentral:rRNA from 1 species
UUUAACUGAGCGUUCAGUUACUUGACGUAGACCCGAAACCGGGCGACCUACCCAUGAGCAGGAUGAAGCGAAAGUAAAAUUUCGUGGAGGUCCGAACCCACGAGCGUUGAAAAGCUCGGGGAUGACUUGUGGGUAGCGGUGAAAUUCCAAUCGAGCCCGGAGAUAGCUGGUUCUCCCCGAAAUAGCUUUAGGGCUAGCCUCAAGGUGAGAGAUACGGAGGUAGAGCACUGAAUGUCCUAGGGGGUAUUGCACCUACCGAAGACUAUCAAACUCCGAAUGCCGUCAUCUUAUACUUGGGAGUCAGACUGUGGGUGAUAAGAUUCAUAGUCGAAAGGGCAACAGCCCAGAUCGUCAGCUAAGGUCCCUAAAUGUAAGUUAAGUGGUAAAGGAUGUGGGAUUGCACAGACAACCAGGAUGUUGGCUUAGAAGCAGCCACUCAUUCAAAGAGUGCGUAAUAGCUCACUGGUCGAGUGAUCCUGCGCCGAAGAUUUCCGGGGCUAAAACUUACUACCGAAGCUACGGCAUCAGUAAUGAUGGGUAGGGGAGCUUCCCAUACGGGUUGAAGCAUGACCGUAAGGACAUGUGGACAGUAUGGGAGUGAGAAUGUUGGCAUGAGUAGCGAGAUGUGGGUGAGAAUCCCACAGGCCGUAAACCCAAGGUUUCCAGGGGAAGGUUCGUCCGCCCUGGGUUAGUCGGGACCUAAGCUGAGGCCGAAAGGCGUAGGUGAUGGACAACAGGUUGAUAUUCCUGUACUACCGAUAACCGUUUGAGAGAAGGGAUGACACAGUAGGAUAAGCUAAGCACACUGUUGGUUAUGUGUGCCCAAGCAUUGAGGCAGUCAAAGUAGGCAAAUCCGCUUUGAUAAUGCUGGGAUGUGAUGGGGAGCGAAAUUUAGUAGCGAAGUAGCUGAUUUCACACUGUCAAGAAAAGUCUCUAUCGAGGUUAAAGGUACCCGUACCGCAAACCGACACAGGUGGGUGAGGAGAGUAUCCUAAGGCCAGCGAGAGAACUGUUGUUAAGGAACUCGGCAAAAUGACCCCGUAACUUAGGGAUAAGGG